rnacentral:lncRNA from 1 species
UGUAAGUAGAUAGGGGAUGUGUGUCUAGAUGAGAGGUGUAGUGUUUCGCGAGGGAGUGUAUAUGCAUGUGUGUGUUCCGUGGAGUGGUGUAUGUGUAUUCUCAUAGGGUUGGCCACAUGUGAGUGUGUGGUAUAGUGAUGCUCUUAGUAGAUAAUCCUAGGAGCAUAUUAGAUAGAGUAGAUAAAGCAUGUGUAGAUUCUUCUUUGUAGUAGGUUCUAGUAUUUGUUGGCUGCAAUAGAUCGUGUUUAUGGGGAUAGUGUGUUGAAUGUGUGUGUGUGGACCUUCCCACCUUUGCAAGUGGUGCACCUCCUCAUGUUCAAUGUGAGAGAGAGCAUGUUGUGUGUGUGGGGUUGGUUUGUGAU